UACGUAGGGUGCGAGCGUUGUCCGGAAUUAUUGGGCGUAAAGAGCUUGUAGGCGGUUUGUCGCGUCUGCUGUGAAAAUCCGGGGCUCAACCCCGGACUUGCAGUGGGUACGGGCAGACUAGAGUGUGGUAGGGGAGACUGGAAUUCCUGGUGUAGCGGUGAAAUGCGCAGAUAUCUGGAGGAACACCGGUGGCGAAGGCGGCAUUCUGGACCGAAACUGACGCUGAGGCGCGAAAGCCAGGGGAGCAAACGGG
rnacentral:rRNA from 1 species